GGACGCAUAGCUCAGCUGGUUAGAGCGCUCGCCUCACACGCGAGAGGUCAUGGGUUCGAGUCCCCUUGUGUCCACCA
rnacentral:tRNA from 14 species